rnacentral:rRNA from 1 species
UACGUAGGGUGCAAGCGUUAAUCGGAAUUACUGGGCGUAAAGGGCGCGUAGGCGGCCUUCUAAGUCGAACGUGAAAUCCCCGGGCUCAACCCCGGAACUGCGUCCGAUACUGGCAGGCUUGAAUCCGGGAGAGGGAUGUGGAAUUCCAGGUGUAGCGGUGAAAUGCGUAGAUAUCGGGAAGAACACCUGUAGCGAAGGCGGCUUACUAGGCUGUAACUGACGCUGAGGCACGAAAGUGUGGGGAGCAAACAGG